AGCACGGUGGUCGGGCGGAGCUAGAGGCAAUCAAUCAUCGACAGCACGGUGGUCGAGCAGAGAUGGAGGUGGUCGAUAGUGCAGUGAUCGGGUGGAGCGAAAGGAGGGCGGUCGGGUGGAGAUUCGAUAGGGCAGAGCCCUCUCAGAUUUUUAAUUUUUCUUUUAAAUGGGUUAUUGGAUUGGUUCGGUUAUUUUUUUUUAAUGAAUUAUUAUAAAUAGAUUGUAAACGGG
rnacentral:lncRNA from 1 species